GACGAACGCUGGCGGCGUGCUUAACACAUGCAAGUCGAACGGAAAGGCCUGCUUUCCCUUGUGGAUUGCGGGUACUCGAGUGGCGAACGGGUGAGUAACACGUGAGUGAUCUGCCCCCAACUUGGGUAUAAGCCUGGGAAACUGGGUCUAAUUCCCGAUAGGACUGCAGGGUGGUGCCUGUGGUGGAAAACGAUUUUCUAGUGGUUGGGGAUGAGCUCGCGGCCUAUCAGCUUGUUGGUGGGGUAAUGGCCUACCAAGGCGGCGACGGGUAGCCGGCCUGAGAGGGUGGACGGCCACAUUGGGACUGAGAUACGGCCCAGACUCCCACGGGAGGCAGCAGUGGGGAAUAUUACACAAUGGGCGGAAGCCUGAUGCAGCGACGCCGCGUGGGGGAUGACGGCCUUCGGGUUGUAAACUCCUUUCGACCGCGAGGAAGCCACCUGGUUGGAAGGGUGGUGACGGUAGUGGUAGAAGAAGCAGCGGCUAACUACGUG
rnacentral:rRNA from 1 species